rnacentral:rRNA from 1 species
GAUGAACGCUGGCGGCGUGCCUAAUACAUGCAAGUCGAGCGAACAGAUGAGGAGCUUGCUCCUCUGACGUUAGCGGCGGACGGGUGAGUAACACGUGGAUAACCUACCUAUAAGACUGGGAUAACUUCGGGAAACCGGAGCUAAUACCGGAUAAUAUAUUGAACCGCAUGGUUCAAUAGUGAAAGACGGUUUUGCUGUCACUUAUAGAUGGAUCCGCGCCGCAUUAGCUAGUUGGUACGGUAACGGCUUACCAAGGCAACGAUGCGUAGCCGACCUGAGAGGGUGAUCGGCCACACUGGAACUGAGACACGGUCCAGACUCCUACGGGAGGCAGCAGUAGGGAAUCUUACGCAAUGGGCGAAAGCUUGACGGAGCAACGCCGCGUGAGUUAUGAAGGUCUUCGGAGCGUAAAACUGUGUUAUUAGGGAAGAACCAAUGUGUAAGUAACUAUGCACGUCUUGACGGUAACUAAUCAGAAAGCAACGGCUAACUACGUG